CCCACAUGGGUGACUGGGACAUGAGGGAUGGAGCUGCCCAUCUGUUCACAGGCAAUACACACAUACCAGUGCCUUCAAGGCACCAGGUAUAUGAAAAGCCUUGGUCUAUGUCCAUGCAAAUCUGUCUUGCUGCGUAGUUUCCUUGUGGAGAGUUCAUAUCAGCAAGAGCACAGAGGACUGGGGGUAUGUGGAAGUGAGGGCUGCAGGUGGAGAUGGUGUUCUUCUUGGAGGUGGAAUGCAGAACCAGAAUCUGGAACCCAGAAUAUUACAUUCUUAGUGUUGCUAGGCUUGGGAAGAGGAAGUGGGGGAGGUCUGGCCUGGAGGGGAAAAUUAAGGGGCUGAUUAAAGUGAGGCUGACCCUGAAAAAUGAACAGUAUUCCAUCCACAUAAGACAGAAAGCUCAGGAGACGUUAUUAGUCAUGGUCCCCACCCAAUGACAGUGACUUGUCCACCAUGGAGAUGCUGACUGCGGUGAUGGAGUGGAAAUGAGCCCCAGGCCAGGCACCCACCCAGCUCCACCCUGAGCAGCUGCAUGUGGUUGAGCAGGUCCUUUAACUUCUUUGGGCCAGCCUCUUUAAAUUGUCAGUAAAAUUGUCAUGAGGAUUAAAUGAGCCUCACUUUUUUCAUCUGCAAAAUGGUAACAACGACACUUUCCCUAGAGGGGCCAUGAAGAUGAAAUGAAAUAAUAAGCAUGACGGAUGGUCCUGGUGCUAGCCUCACAGCUCACCUGUUCCUAGAGCAAUGUCUUCCCAGCAGCAGCAGCGGCAGCAGCAGCAGUGCCCACCCCAGAGGGCCCAGCAGCAGCAAGUGAAGCAGCCUUGUCAGCCACCCCCUGUUAAAUGUCAAGAGACAUGUGCACCCAAAACCAAGGAUCCAUGUGCUCCCCAGGUCAAGAAGCAAUGCCCACCGAAAGGCACCAUCAUUCCAGCCCAGCAGAAGUGUCCCUCAGCCCAGCAAGCCUCCAAGAGCAAACAGAAGUAAGGAUGGACUGGAUAUUACCAUCAUCCACCAUCCUGGCUACCAGAUGGAACCUUCUCUUCUUCCUUCUCCUCUUCCCUCCAGCUCUUGAGCCUACCCUCCUCUCACAUCUCCUCCUGCCCAAGAUGUAAGGAAGCAUUGUAAGGAUUUCUUCCCAUCGUACCCUUCCCCACACAUACCACCUUGGCUUCUUCUAUAUCCCACCCCGAUGCUCUCCCAGGUGGGUGUGAGAGAGACCUCAUUCUCUGCAGGCUCCAGCGUGGCCACAGCUAAGGCCCAUCCAUUUCCCAAAGUGAGGAAAGUGUCUGGGCUUCUUCUGGGGUUCCACCCUGACAAGUAGGGUCACAGAGGCUGGUGCACAGUUUCUGCCUCAUUCCUCUCCAUGAUGCCCCCUGCUCUGGGCUUCUCUCCUGUUUUCCCCAAUAAAUAUGUGCCUCAUGUAAUAAAUGUGUCUGCUUCCUGGGCUAAUUGUCCACUCCCAGUCCCAUUCUGUG
rnacentral:lncRNA from 1 species